GACGAACGCUGGCGGCGUGCUUAACACAUGCAAGUCGAACGGUAAGGCCCUUCGGGGUACACGAGUGGCGAACGGGUGAGUAACACGCGGGUGAUCUGCCCUGCACUUCGGGAUAAGCCUGGGAAACUGGGUCUAAUACCGGAUAGGACCACUGCCUGCAUGGGUGGUGGUGGAAAGCUUUUGUGGUGUGGGAUGGGCCCGCGGCCUAUCAGCUUGUUGGUGGGGUGAUGGCCUACCAAGGCGACGACGGGUAGCCGGCCUGAGAGGGUGACCGGCCACACUGGGACUGAGAUACGGCCCAGACUCCUACGGGAGGCAGCAGUGGGGAAUAUUGCACAAUGGGCGCGAGCCUGAUGCAGCGACGCCGCGUGAGGGAUGACGGCCUUCGGGUUGUAAACCUCUUUCAGCACCGACGAAGCGCAAGUGACGGUAGGUGCAGAAGAAGGACCGGCUAACUCCGUGCCAGCCGCCGCAGUAA
rnacentral:rRNA from 1 species